AUUGCCCUAGUAACGGCGAGUGAAGCGGCAACAGCUCAAAUUUGAAAUCUGGCUCUUUUAGGGUCCGAGUUGUAAUUUGCAGAGGGCGCUUUGGCGUUGGCAGCGGUCCAAGUUCUUUGGAACAGGACGUCACAGAGGGUGAGAAUCCCGUACGUGGUCGCUAUCCUUCGCCGUGUAAAGCCCCUUCGACGAGUCGAGUUGUUUGGGAAUGCAGCUCUAAAUGGGAGGUAAAUUUCUUCUAAAGCUAAAUACUGGCCAGAGACCGAUAGCGCACAAGUAGAGUGAUCGAAAGAUGAAAAGCACUUUGGAAAGAGAGUCAAAUAGCACGUGAAAUUGUUGAAAGGGAAGCGCUUGCAGCCAGACUUGCCUGUAGUUGCUUAUCCGGACUUUUGUCCGGUGCACUCUUCUGCGGGCAGGCCAGCAUCAGUUUGGGCAGUUGGAUAAAGGUCUCUGUCAUGUACCUCUCUUCGGGGAGGCCUUAUAGGGGAGACGACAUGCAACUAGCCUGGACUGAGGUCCGCGCAUCUGCUAGGAUGCUGGCGUAAUGGCUGUAAGCGGCCCGUCUUGAAACACGGACCAAGGAGUCUAACAUCUAUGCGAGUGUUUGGGUGUCAAGCCCAGACGCGUAAUGAAAGUGAACGGAGGUGGGAACCCUUUGGGUGCACCAUCGACCGAUCCUGAUGUUUUCGGAAGGAUUUGAGUAAGAGCAUGGCUGUUGGGACCCGAAAGAUGGUGAACUAUGCUUGAAUAGGGUGAAGCCAGAGGAAACUCUGGUGGAGGCUCGCAGCGGUUCUGACGUGCAAAUCGAUCGUCAAAUUUGGGCAUAGGGGCGAAAGACUAAUCGAACUAUCUAGUAGCUGGUU
rnacentral:rRNA from 1 species